UACAGAGGUCUCGAGCGUUAGGCGGAAUCACUGGGCUUAAAGCGUGUGUAGGCGGCGGGCUAAGUACCUUGUGAAAUCCCACGGCUUAACUGUGGAACUGCUGGGUAUACUGGUUCGCUUGAGCGGUCUAGGGGCGAGCGGAACAAAUGGUGGAGCGGUGAAAUGCGUAGAUAUCGGGAGGAACACCGGUGGCGAAGGCGGCAUCCUGGACCAAUAUUGACGCUGAGGAGCGAAAGCCAGGGGAGCAAACGGG
rnacentral:rRNA from 1 species